rnacentral:rRNA from 1 species
UACGGAGGGUGCGAGCGUUGUCCGGAAUCACUGGGCGUAAAGCGAACGUAGGCGGUUUCUUAAGUUUGGUCUUAAAGACCGGGGCUCAACCCCGGGAAUGGAUCGAAAACUGGGAGACUGGAGGACGUCAGAGGAAAGUGGAAUUCCGAGUGUAGCGGUGAAAUGCGUAGAUAUUCGGAGGAACACCAGUGGCGAAAGCGACUUUCUGGGACGUUCCUGACGCUGAGGUUCGAAAGCUCGGGGAGCAAACAGG